UACAAGAAGAAAAACGCCAGAACUGGUGAAAACGAUGGGGAAGAAGUGAUGAAGGGUAGGCCAACAAAGACUGUCUGGUAUCUUACUUGCUAGAAUGUCUGGAGAAAUAUGCUGACCACGACUUUAUCCUCUUCUUCCUUAAUUUGGAAGACCAUUGGGUGACAUUACUCAUUUGUUUGCCUUGGUCCGCGGUAUACUAUUUCGAUUCACUACUUCCUCCGAAGGGUGCUUGAGGUUGCUACUGAAAACCAAUCAAAUUACUCAUUAACACUGCCUGGAAAGUUGCGACCAAGCAAACUAGUUGGCAAAGGCUAUAAAGACGAGCCUCACCACAACCACAGAUUCCCUUGCAAUCAACAGCCGCUCGGCACUGUGUACUAUGGGUACUACUGAUGUUACAUCCUUAUGGAGAAUUCCAGCAUGUUCAAACCUGGGUGGAAGGGGUUAAUCGCGGCUGUGGAAGAGUACUGGCGGCCCCGAAUGACAAUGGCGCACCGACCUAAAUGGAUCGUGUAUAACAUUCAAAGGGAGUUCGGCCAUCUCAUCAACAAUGAGGUCAUCAAGCCGAGUGGGGACUUCUACGAACGCGUGGAACAAGUGGUUAUUAGGGUUCACCCACAAUAAUAGUUUCAAACUUGACUUUGCUAUGAAAUUUUGAAACUUUGUAAUCAAUGUCGUGAAGUGAGAUACAUUUGUAUGCUUUAUAUUCUUUAAAUGUUGCGGCUUUAUA